CCGCUACUCAUGGGGGCACCCAUUUAAGCUGCAGGUCCGGAAGAACAACCGCACCUACACCCUAUACAACACCGCGGAAAUGGCGGAUUUCGCAGAGAGCCUCGGCCUGGAUCCCACAACUCUCACCACGGACCCGAAUCCCAGAAGACACGACAGAGGCCCUCCGCCCAGAAAUGCACCACCGAUAGCCCCGGCACGCCAG